AGAGGUCCCAAGCGUUGUUCGGAUUUACUGGGCGUAAAGGGAGCGUAGGUGGCAGGCUAAGUCUGAUGUGAAAGCUCUGAGCUUAACUCAGAAAUGGCAUUAGAUACUAGUUUGCCUGAGGAUUGGAGGGGAGACUGGAAUUCUCGGUGUAGCAGUGAAAUGCGUAGAUAUCGAGAGGAACACCAGUGGCGAAGGCGAGUCUCUGGACAAUUCCUGACACUGAUGCUCGAAAGCUAGGGGAGCAAACGGGAUUAGAUACCCCGGUAGUCCUAGCUGUAAACGGUGCACGCUUGCCGUAGGUGGAAUCGACCCCGCCUGUGGCGAAGCUAACGCGUUAAGCGUGCCGCCUGGGAAGUACGGUCGCAAGAUUA
rnacentral:rRNA from 1 species